CUGUUCUUCACUUCUGCCUUGGCUCCUGAAAAUGCUACCUCAAAAAUAUUUUGUGAGUCCAUCUUUAGACACAGAGAUGUUAAAAUAAUCCAUAACUCAAAACAAAGCAUGUUUAAGCUUUAAAAGAAUAUUUCUCAAAGCAGUAACAAAAUUCUUUGAGCAAGACAUUCUUGGGACAAAUCCUCUGAAAUCAAUUGGCAUUCAGCCAAAUCAUUCCAUCUCAUUGAUAUCAAAGGUAUUUCUUAAUCAUUUAUGCUGAAUUCAACCAUAAACCUCAAUAACAAGGUUGAUGAAAAAGAACUGAACCACAAGGAUCCAAACCACUAAAACAGAGGACACUUAAACCAACAUUCUAUUUUGCAUUUUCAUCUUUAAUGGCAAAAUGUGCUGUAGUUUAAUCCUAAAUAAAUCUGCAGGGUACGGAACAGUCAGCAGUCUGAACAUCUCCCAGGGCAGCAGGAGUGACAGCUUUGGGUCUUGCUCUGGUCCCAACAUCACACUGCUGCCCCAUAUCCGGUGCUUAGCUUGGCCAGAGCCCCAGUCAUUCAGCAGAGGGGAUCUUGGCUAUGACACGAUCACAUGUGAGACUGCUGUAGCACUCUGCCUGCUGGGCUGUCAGACCUUUGUACCACCAUCCCACAGUGGAAAGUAGACUGAACAGAAGGCCAUUUAAUUCAUCUUGUCAUGGGUUUGGGUGGAAUUAAUUGAAAUUUGCUAAGAACAAACACUCCUUCCUGGAGACCAAUAGGAGUGAUAAUAAGCAUCCCUAACAUCCAGCUACAAAUUUCAAGAGUUCUCCUUCUAACUGUGAGAGAUAAGUUGUCUCAGGAUUAGCUGUAACUAUUGAUUGGUUAUCAGCUUGUAAGUUUGAACUGGCCAAUCAUGCCGCAGUAUUUGAUUUCAAGUUUUUUCCAACGGACAUUCUUGAAGUAUAUAAGGGAGGGCUUUCCCAGCCCAAAGCAAAGACACAGAGACAGGCUCACACAGACGAAGAGAGAGACAGAGACUUGCAUAUGCCACAGAGCCUCCAAGGCUGAAGUCACUUCAAUGGAGCAAAAGAGCUGUGAGAAUCCGAUUGCUGAUUUCAGUGUUUUGAUGCAAGCAGCAACUACGCCGGUGAUAGCAAGGGACAGGAUUGAAACCCAGAACAACGCCAGACCGGUAAGGGAUAUUCAACCUUCCCCCGUAACCCCCCUUGCUGGCUGCAGAUUGGGAGUAGGAAACAAUAGACUGCCCAUUUUAAAUUUCCUGCCAAACAUUAUGGCACCACCUACUGCUCAAACUGUUUUAAAUCAGCCAGCCGGAAGUUUUAUCCCUCCAACGACUACACCAUCGUUAGUUCCAGCUGCAUCAGGGAUGCCACCAAUGCUGCCUGGGCAGGCUUUUACCCAGGCGACCAAUAUGGUUAGGUGGCCACAGCUUUGAAUAUAAGAAGUUCACCUCCCGAAUCUGAGAUCACAAGUGGAAUUGAAACGUUAACUACAUUUUUUGGAACUGAUUUUCAGUUAUUCCUUGCCCAACGUGCAACAGCGGCCCGUAUUAAUACACCCUCGAUGUCCAUGACCCGCUCCCCAUCUGUUGUAAAUGGGGUGGGCUCUCCUAUGACGCCUCUAGCUUUUGGGGCUAUCUCUGGGACUGCACCAACUGAGGUUGAGGUUCCAGGAGCACGCCCAAGGUUUUCUGCAGAGGAGCAGCUGAGGAGAUCUUUGCACUCUGGAGUUCAGGCACUCUCGGCUCUUCUGAUCUGCGGCUGGGUGGCUCUUCAGAUGACUCACCAAACGGAAAAACAGAGUUUAGCCAAACAAUCUUUAAUCUGCAAUGGUCGGGUAUGAAGGAAAAGCCAAGUACGGAUGUAACAAAGUCAGCGCUGAAUGUUAGGUUUUGUCAGCGCUUUUUAAAGCAGUGCAGUGACCGCGCCCAUGCCCUGUGGAAAUUGGGAUCGUAGAAACACCCAGGAGCAUAGAAGAAUCCAAAGGCAGAUGCAUGAAUAAAUGUGAUAAAUGUA